AGCUUGCUUCUCUUGAGAGCGGCGGACGGGUGAGUAAUGCCUAGGAAUCUGCCUGGUAGUGGGGGAUAACGUUCGGAAACGGACGCUAAUACCGCAUACGUCCUACGGGAGAAAGCAGGGGACCUUCGGGCCUUGCGCUAUCAGAUGAGCCUAGGUCGGAUUAGCUAGUUGGUGAGGUAAUGGCUCACCAAGGCGACGAUCCGUAACUGGUCUGAGAGGAUGAUCAGUCACACUGGAACUGAGACACGGUCCAGA
rnacentral:rRNA from 1 species